rnacentral:lncRNA from 1 species
CUUUAGGUUUAAAGUUCUAAUAAAAUUGACGUUAUCGACCGUCAACAAUUCCCCCAAGCUUACCUUUUGCCAGUGCCUUGGCAAACAACCCAAGCCUAGUUAAUAAACUUGGAUCAGGAGUUGCUACAAUACUUCAUUUCACAUAAAUUUUCCUCCGGUCUAACUUUCAAACUUACCCAUUUUACUUUAACCAUGGAGCUUUACAGCUUUUGCAUAAGUCUUGAGUAAUCGAAAGAUAGAACAAUCAAGUCAAGCACUAUGUCUCAAAUUCUUCACAGUACCAAUAUUCUGGAGUUUUGCAAGUUUUUUGAAAUAAAGCUUAGAGCAUGAUUGUAUGACACCUUCAAGUAUCUUAUUUUGUAGUAUUUGUGGAUCUCGCUGAGGCAUUAAUGAGGUUUCGCCUUCCUACAACUAAGGAUAUAUAUAGUGGAGCUUAUAGGAGUGGCAAUAACAAGGAUGAGCAUACUUGUAAUUCAUAUAUUGUAAAGUCAAAUAAUGGAUCUAUAGAGAAUAAAGGCAUACAAUCAAAUCAAGAUGUGUGUGUGUAUGGAAUAUGGUGGAUAGGUGUAUAUAUAGUAUUUAGUGGCUAAUCCUUAUUCUACUUUUGCUCUUUGAAAAUUACUCCCUGCUUAGAACUUUUCACACGAAAACAUGGGUUGUAUUUAUUAUCUCUUUCUCUCUCUCUUUUUUCAUUACUGUGGGAGGUGGGCAUCGAUGUACCCAUUAUUUUAAUUUCUGGGACACUUGUCCAUCUUUUACUUCCUUUUUUUCUUUUUUCUUUUUUUAAAUACAUUUGCGUAGCCACAUGCAUCAUUUGAAUAUAAAUAAUUGGAGAGAAAAUGAUAAGAACUUAGAGGAAUUAAAUGGGGGCUGUCCUAUGGGGUAUAUUUUUGGGUGUUUACUCCUAGUGUAGGAGAAAACAUUUUUUAAGGUGGAUGUGGAUGAAGAUGGAAAAUAAUUGCAUUUACUCCCAGAGUUGGGGCAGUGCAUAUAUAGGUGGAGUGCGUAAGUGAUCUUGAUUUUAAAAGCAUGACAAGACUCUCAUAAGGUAUACUCCAAAGGUUGACUAAGCUCAAUGUAAAGCAAGAAGCAUGAAUGCGCAAAGGUUUUCCUAACUCUAAAUGUAUCAUAUAUGGCUUUGGUAGGAAUUUAAACUUUAUCGUACAAGAGCUCAUCAUGUAAGAUUUUGGGUUUUUAAAAAUAAAUCUCCAGAACUUAGUAAUGCUAGGAGUAAGAUAAAUAGUAGCUUAGACCUUCAUGUAUCAUAUCAAUUACCUAGACUUAGCUUAAACUUAUGCCUCCACAAAUUUUUAGGUUCAGAGUAAAUUCUUGAAGUGGUCAUGUCUAAAACUUAGGAGAAUUCAUGGUUGAAAACUAGGCACUUCGAAGGAAUUAUUGUAGAGCAAUUCUUCAUCAUCUCCAAGACAAAACUUUAAUAUUCUCUAAUUUUUAUUUGACUCUAAACUAGACUGAUUGUAGACACACUCUAUGAUCACACCUUAAUAUAUAUAUAAGUAUUUUGUUUGGGUUUUAUUCAUUUCUAUUGGACUCAAAAGACUCUAAAUAUAUGGACCUUCAUGUGCCAAUAUAUUUUUGGUAUUUUUUUAUAUUUUCUUAUGAUACUAUCGUGAACCUUAAUAUGCUCAUAUAUUUUUGGUACUUUACAACUAUAUAAAAUAGACUCGACAAUCGCCUAGGUUUAGUUACCUGGUAACUAGGGGAUGCCCCUCCCCCAAGAUAGAUAAUUGCAAUAGUUGGUGUUGAUGAUCUUUAGAGUGAGCUAACUGGCAGCGCUCCAUGUGGGUGCCACUAGUAGACUAUUUCCUUGUCAUAAUGUUGUUCCUGUUGAUAUUUGGGAACGCAAUAAGGAAUGGAUCCGCAAGCACACGGAUAUCGGUGAGCACUUCACCCGAGAGGUUAUCCAAAGUAUCGUAUUUAUUGUUUUACCACUAGGAGAAAGAGUGCAUCUAACUAACCUAGUCUAUUACUACUAACCUUUAGGCUACAAAAAUGUUUCUCGAUGUGAGUGAUAUAUAGAGAAGACUACAACCGUAAUCUCUUUCUAACCUUGGUAAGGAUGAUCUACUGUUCUAUUGGGGAAGCUUAUGGAAUCUAGACACCACAGAGGAUGUUCAACCCGCACCUAUAAAUCCUAUCCUUCCUGCUAAUGAGAUAUGGUUUGCAAAGGUAACUCGGAAAUGUCACGUUCCUCGCUACUACCACGGUCCAGCUAGUCAGGAAAUAUCUAUGAGUAUCCUAGCCCAAACACCACGUCUAUGCUAGAGAUGAUUACUCUAGACUAUACGCAAAGAGAUUAAAGUAAACUCAUAAACCAAAGAACAAUAAAACAAGAACUUACUAGAAUUUAGAAGUCAAAAUAUUGAAGAAUCCUAGGAACAAGCUUCGAGUUAGGAGAACAUGAUCCAGCAGGUACAACCUUGGAGUAGACACCGACAGGCAGGGCUUCCUCCGAUCUACACCUCCACUCUAUCUCACACAAUCUAGUAGAAACUAGAAGAUCUAAUUCUACUCACAUUGGAUGCUAAGCCCUAAGUCUAUUUAGAGGAGAGGUAUUUCUUCGAGGGCUCCUCUCAACUCUAUGAUGAACCUGUCUCCUCCUGGGGCCAGGGGGUCUGGUUUUAUAGUCCCCUCAAGUGAACGUGAGCCAUCGGAUCAAACCGACAUUGAUUGAACGGUUAUCCUUGAUCCUUUAGGUUGGUGGAGCUUGGUCCGCGAAAAGAGUUCUGAUUGGAGUCCAGAGGGGGGCGGGUGCCCUGGUCCUCAGGGCGGGCGCCCUGGGCCAGGCCCCUUUCGGUCUCUGCUUUGUUCCCGUGGCUUCUCGAGUCUUCUAGAUGGUAGAAAAUUGCACUGUGCGUUGAUACCUCUAUGUAAUCCCGACAUGUGGGCCUUUCUUCCUUAUUUCAUGAUAACCCCCUACAGAAAUAGAUAAACAACAAAACUCGUGGAAUUCUAUCAGAUCAAACCCUAAUUCUAGGUGUUCUUUGCAUAUUGGUCCUUUCUCUUGUUUAUUUGAUAAUUAAAAUUGAUACUUAAGAACCGUCAACAAAUACCCCCAUACUUAGGCUUUUACUCGUCCUCGAGAAAAGGAUGGUUAAGAAAAAUAUCUGGGGUUAAAACAUUGUAAAGCAUUCUCUUUUAUACCUGCAGGGUGUAAAAAUUCACUGUGUAUCAUAGUUAGGGAAAUAUAUGGUCAAGAGUAGAGGCCCCUUUCUUCUCAAUCAUGUCACUUGGAGUUUUUGUAUAUUUUUGAAAGAAAUUUAGCAUACCUUUUAUCCUCAUAGGUUCUCUCAGGUCAAUCAUUAUCUUUUAUAUAUCUCACUGAGGCUAUUUUAAUUUGCAAAAAUUCUCAAGCAUACUUACCUUGCAUUUAUUGCCUGAUCAAAACGGGAUCCGAGGAGAAGAAUGCCAUACUCUUAGAUCAAAGACUUUGGAAAUUAAAAACUUGUCAACUCUUGCUGGA